rnacentral:rRNA from 1 species
GUGCCAGCAGCCGCGGUAAUACAGAGGGUGCGAGCGUUAAUCGGAAUUACUGGGCGUAAAGGGUGUGUAGGUGGUAUCGUAAGUUAGAUGUGAAAUCCCCGGGCUUAACCUGGGAACUGCGUUUAAAACUGCGAAGCUAGAGUAUUGCAGAGGAUAGUGGAAUUUCCAGUGUAGCGGUGAAAUGCGUAGAUAUUGGAAGGAACACCAGUGGCGAAGGCGACUAUCUGGGCAAAUACUGACACUGAGACACGAAAGCGUGGGGAGCAAACAGGAUUAGAAACCCGCGUAGUCC